AUUGAACGCUGGCGGCAUGCUUUACACAUGCAAGUCGAACGGCAGCGCGGGCUUCGGCCUGGCGGCGAGUGGCGAACGGGUGAGUAAUACAUCGGAACGUGCCCAGUAGUGGGGGAUAGCUCGGCGAAAGACGGAUUAAUACCGCAUACGACCUGAGGGUGAAAGCGGGGGAUCUUCGGACCUCGCGCUAUUGGAGCGGCCGAUGGCAGAUUAGCUAGUUGGUGGGGUAAAGGCCUACCAAGGCGACGAUCUGUAGCUGGUCUGAGAGGACGACCAGCCACACUGGGACUGGGCCACGGCCCAGCCUCCUACGGGAGGCAGCAGUGGGGAAUUUUGGACAAUGGGCGAAAUCCUGAUCCAGCAAUGCCGCGUGUGUGAUGAAGGCCUUCGGGUUGUAAAGCACUUUUGGCGGGAACGAAAAGGACUGUGCCAAUACCACGGUUCGAUGACGGUACCCGCAGAAUAAGCACCGGCUAACUACGUG
rnacentral:rRNA from 1 species